UACGAAGGGGGCUAGCGUUGUUCGGAAUUACUGGGCGUAAAGCGUGCGCAGGCGGCUUCUCAAGUCAGGGGUGAAAGCCCAGAGCUCAACUCUGGAAUUGCCUUUGAGACUGAGUGGCUUGAGUACGAGAGAGGUGAGUGGAAUUCCCAGUGUAGCGGUGAAAUGCGUAGAUAUUGGGAGGAACACCAGUGGCGAAGGCGGCUCACUGGACCGGUUCUGACGCUGAUGCGCGAAAGCGUGGGAGCAACGGG
rnacentral:rRNA from 1 species